AGCCAACAUCGAAAAAUAUUCGCACAUUUCGAAAUUUGCCAAGCAAAUGCUAUGUUUGCCAUUGCCUAAUGUUAAAUGCGAAAGAAUAUUUUCCGAAAUCAAUAGAAUAAAAACAAAAGAUAGGAAUAGAUUCAUGAACAUAAAUGUUGCUUCGAUUCUAAAGAAGGAUUAAAGGAAGCUGGUGAAUGUAGCGAAUUUACUCCAGAUUCAGAAAAGUUGAAUAUGAUGAAUAAAAAUACACUUUAUGAAAAUAUGAAACUUUCUGAGAUAAAUAUAGGUAUGUACUUUUUUCAAUUUUAGGUAGACAACGUUAUUUUAUUGAUUUUCUAACUAUACUAUAUAUAUUUUUUAUUAUAUGUUGUAUUUUUGUAUAUAUUUUAAUAUGUGUAUAUUUUUUAGAUAUUAUUUUUACACUUUUGAAUGUAUAGGGGCCAAUAAUAUGUUAUGAUACAUAAAUUCACAUUAUGUUAUAAUGCUAUGAAUAAACCCGUUAUUUAUUUAUUUUAUAUUUGAAUCAGUAUUUUGUCAGUUUUAAAUAUCAUUGCUAAAUACCUACAAAUAUGGAUAUGCGCAUGCGCAAAGCUGAUAGUAGAUUUCUAUCAUCCUCGUAGUAGCACAGAUUACUAACCACAGAUUACUGUCUGUGGUAGUAGAUUCGCUUUUUGAAAGAUGGUCACACUACUCACCAGGGGGGUGAAACUCGUAGUACUAAAUUGGAAACAAAUAUUCUAUGCGCCUACCUAACAGAGAAUGAAAGAGAUAGAAGAUGUAUGGUUAUCUCUGUCGCUCAUGAUAAGAAGGAUAAUGUUCCAAAAUCCAAAUUGACAUUCGACAGUUGCAGUUAUAACCAAACAUUUUCGGAUAGUAGUAUUGAAAAAUAUUCAACAUUCGUUGAAAAAAAAAAUUUUAUCCGUUAAGACUGAUAUUAGAUAUUAUGUUAAUUUAUUUUUUGUUUGAAAAACCAACAUUUUUAUUAUUUAUCUUUGUCUGCACAACUUUUGGUCUAGUCUAAGGAUUGAAAUGAGUGCCUCAAAUCUUCGAUGGACGACUCCAUUGGUUAUGUACAUCCUAAAAUGGCUGUUUGAUUACUAUAUCAUCAAUUUUUAACAGAAUUAUAAAUGAUUGAAUGAAUUUGACCGGUAAAGGUCAAUAAUUAAUCAUGGAAAACCCAUUUAUUAGUUGCCGACGUGAAGCCAACAUACUUUAAAAUCCCAUAUAUCGCAGACCUCUCACAAAAAGCUCGUCAUUUUUCAAAAUACGAAGGGGUUGCAAUUGCUUUGAAACAUCAAAAUAGAUAAUUUUUUUACACUUUCAUAGACUUAAGUUUAUAUUUAAUAUUGUAUUCCUUCUUUCAGAGCCCUGAAGGUAUAACGAAACUGGUCGGCAACUUAUAAAUGGGAUUUCCAUGAUUAAUUUUUGACCUUUACCUGCUAAUUUCAUUCAAUCGUACAGUCAUUAUCAACCAACAAUAUUAUAAAUUAUGUACUGUAUAUCUGUUUGUUCCAUGUAGUGUGUCCAUUGAAAUAUUAGAUAGAAGUCAAAUAAUAUAGAGUGAAAUCAAUUUUUGUUUUUUUUACUAGUAGAAUUAAAGGCCGCUUACAUUUCAAACUUUCCUGCGGUAAUUUCAAAUUUUCCCGCCCUGAAGAAAGCCUAUUUCUCACUUUGCCCGUUGGUGUCGCUAGUGAGGACCUAAUCAAGAUGGCGGCUAUUUUGUUUCCACAGAUUAGUAGGGAGAUUGCAUUUCUUAUUAUUAGUAUUCUGUGCUACUCACACUACUUCCAGUUCUUUCUUCAGUUCACAGAUCCACACAUAGAACAAAAAUGGGUGGAACAACAACCCAACAUGUUUACAGUUCAUGAGAACUUUUGAAAGGCUUUUGCUACAGUUUUCCAAAGGAUGACAAAUUAAGGGAAAUGUAGAUGAAAGCUGUAGGAAGAAUUGAUUUCCACCCUUCUUCCUCGUUGAAAAUAUGCAGUAUGGAUUAAACAUACCAUCAUGCGGUUUUACGAAGAUCUGCAGAGGAAUUGAGAUAGCCAUAAAAAACUUUGAGUGUGACGGAUAAUAGAGUUCCUGCUGAAAACAAAUUUCUUAAUGCUUUUAUCACUGCCAAUGCUUAACAUUAUUACCCACUGAUGACUAAUUUAUUUCCUGAAUUAGAUGACCAUUUUUAUGAAUCAUCCCCUGUGGGUGUUAAUAAUGGAUUUCUAUUGAUCAAGGAGAUAGUAAAAGCCUAUUUCAAAACUAGGGUUUUCAAUCUUGCGAAAAAAUGUACUCAAAAAUACAAGGUCAAUCUGUUCGACAGCAGCUUACAAAAUUUAUUUUAUUUAAUCACCAAUAAUGUAUAUUAGGUAUAUUUCCCAUUCCUGCAUGAUGAAUUUGUCAAUUUUAAGUUCAGAGUCUCAAUUCAGAAAAACUAAUUUUUAAUAUUAUAUUUUCCAUUCACCACUGAUUUCAGGAUAAAUUUCUCCAGUUGAAAUUCUUAUUGUAAACUUCUCGAAUGUUUAAAUUGUCAAGAAUUAUUUUGUAUAGUAUUUUAGGCUUAAUUGCCACUAGUUACCAAUUUCACUUGUGGAUCAGAAAUAAAGACUUCAUAAUAUCAAUGACUUGCAGAACAUUGAUUAAUUUUCUAUUGUACAGUUUUUACUAUAUCAAAUAUAUAUUCUUUGUUUGUUAUAAAUUUCAUUGAAUAAUUCCAUUCAAGCUUAAACACUAGGUUUUACGCAAUAUACUCAUUAUCUCUAUGUUCGUGGAGGAGUAAAAUAUAAUUUUGAUACUAA